GAGGGUAUAGCUCAGUGGUAGAGUGUGUGCUUAGCAUGCUUGAGGUCCUGAGUUCAAUCCCCAGUACCUCCA
rnacentral:tRNA from 1 species